rnacentral:rRNA from 1 species
GGUUAAGCGACUAAGCGUACACGGUGGAUGCCCUGGCAGUCAGAGGCGAUGAAGGACGUGCUAAUCUGCGAUAAGCGCCGGUAAGGUGAUAUGAACCGUUAUAACCGGCGAUUUCCGAAUGGGGAAACCCAGUGUGAUUCGUCACACUAUCAUUAACUGAAUCCAUAGGUUAAUGAGGCGAACCGGGGGAACUGAAACAUCUAAGUACCCCGAGGAAAAGAAAUCAACCGAGAUUCCCCCAGUAGCGGCGAGCGAACGGGGAGGAGCCCAGAGCCUGAAUCAGCAUGUGUGUUAGUGGAAGCGUCUGGAAAGGCGCGCGAUACAGGGUGACAGCCCCGUACACAAAAGCGCAUGUGCUGUGAGCUCGAUGAGUAGGGCGGGACACGUGGUAUCCUGUCUGAAUAUGGGGGGACCAUCCUCCAAGGCUAAAUACUCCUGACUGACCGAUAGUGAACCAGUACCGUGAGGGAAAGGCGAAAAGAACCCCGGCGAGGGGAGUGAAAAAGAACCUGAAACCGUGUACGUACAAGCAGUGGGAGCACCCUUCGGGGUGUGACUGCGUACCUUUUGUAUAAUGGGUCAGCGACUUAUAUUCUGUAGCAAGGUUAACCGUAUAGGGGAGCCGGAGGGAAACCGAGUCUUAAUUGGGCGUUAAGUUGCAGGGUAUAGACCCGAAACCCGGUGAUCUAGCCAUGGGCAGGUUGAAGGUUGGGUAACACUAACUGGAGGACCGAACCGACUAAUGUUGAAAAAUUAGCGGAUGACCUGUGGCUGGGGGUGAAAGGCCAAUCAAACCGGGAGAUAGCUGGUUCUCCCCGAAAGCUAUUUAGGUAGCGCCUCGUGAAUUCAUCUCCGGGGGUAGAGCACUGUUUCGGCUAGGGGGCCAUCCCGGCUUACCAACCCGAUGCAAACUGCGAAUACCGGAGAAUGUUAUCACGGGAGACACACGGCGGGUGCUAACGUCCGUCGUGAAGAGGGAAACAACCCAGACCGCCAGCUAAGGUCCCAAAGUCAUGGUUAAGUGGGAAACGAUGUGGGAAGGCCCAGACAGCCAGGAUGUUGGCUUAGAAGCAGCCAUCAUUUAAAGAAAGCGUAAUAGCUCACUGGUCGAGUCGGCCUGCGCGGAAGAUGUAACGGGGCUAAACCAUGCACCGAAGCUGCGGCAGCGAACGUAUCACCCAAGACAACUUUACGGAGUUGACGAUUGACGGAGCGAAGCGACGUCAAAGCGUUCAUUAAAGUCGAGUUGGCUUAGGGAUACGUUCGUUGGGUAGGGGAGCGUUCUGUAAGCCUGUGAAGGUGUGUCGUGAGGCAUGCUGGAGGUAUCAGAAGUGCGAAUGCUGACAUAAGUAACGAUAAAGCGGGUGAAAAGCCCGCUCGCCGGAAGACCAAGGGUUCCUGUCCAACGUUAAUCGGGGCAGGGUGAGUCGACCCCUAAGGCGAGGCCGAAAGGCGUAGUCGAUGGGAAACGGGUUAAUAUUCCCGUACUUGGUGUUACUGCGAAGGGGGGACGGAGAAGGCUAUGUUGGCCGGGCGACGGUUGUCCCGGUUUAAGCGUGUAGGUGUGUGUUCCAGGUAAAUCCGGUUCACUUUAACACUGAGGCGUGACGACGAGGCACUACGGUGCUGAAGCAACAAAUGCCCUGCUUCCAGGAAAAGCCUCUAAGCAUCAGGUAACAUCAAAUCGUACCCCAAACCGACACAGGUGGUCAGGUAGAGAAUACCAAGGCGCUUGAGAGAACUCGGGUGAAGGAACUAGGCAAAAUGGUGCCGUAACUUCGGGAGAAGGCACGCUGACACGUAGGUGAAGUGAUUUACUCAUGGAGCUGAAGUCAGUCGAAGAUACCAGCUGGCUGCAACUGUUUAUUAAAAACACAGCACUGUGCAAACACGAAAGUGGACGUAUACGGUGUGACGCCUGCCCGGUGCCGGAAGGUUAAUUGAUGGGGUCAGCGCAAGCGAAGCUCCUGAUCGAAGCCCCGGUAAACGGCGGCCGUAACUAUAACGGUCCUAAGGUAGCGAAAUUCCUUGUCGGGUAAGUUCCGACCUGCACGAAUGGCGUAAUGAUGGCCAGGCUGUCUCCACCCGAGACUCAGUGAAAUUGAACUCGCUGUGAAGAUGCAGUGUACCCGCGGCAAGACGGAAAGACCCCGUGAACCUUUACUAUAGCUUGACACUGAACAUUGAGCCUUGAUGUGUAGGAUAGGUGGGAGGCUUUGAAGUGUGGACGCCAGUCUGCAUGGAGCCGACCUUGAAAUACCACCCUUUAAUGUUUGAUGUUCUAACGUGGACCCGUUAUCCGGGUUGCGGACAGUGUCUGGUGGGUAGUUUGACUGGGGCGGUCUCCUCCUAAAGAGUAACGGAGGAGCACGAAGGUUGGCUAAUCCUGGUCGGACAUCAGGAGGUUAGUGCAAUGGCAUAAGCCAGCUUGACUGCGAGCGUGACGGCGCGAGCAGGUGCGAAAGCAGGUCAUAGUGAUCCGGUGGUUCUGAAUGGAAGGGCCAUCGCUCAACGGAUAAAAGGUACUCCGGGGAUAACAGGCUGAUACCGCCCAAGAGUUCAUAUCGACGGCGGUGUUUGGCACCUCGAUGUCGGCUCAUCACAUCCUGGGGCUGAAGUAGGUCCCAAGGGUAUGGCUGUUCGCCAUUUAAAGUGGUACGCGAGCUGGGUUUAGAACGUCGUGAGACAGUUCGGUCCCUAUCUGCCGUGGGCGCUGGAGAACUGAGGGGGGCUGCUCCUAGUACGAGAGGACCGGAGUGGACGCAUCACUGGUGUUCGGGUUGUCAUGCCAAUGGCACUGCCCGGUAGCUAAAUGCGGAAGAGAUAAGUGCUGAAAGCAUCUAAGCACGAAACUUGCCCCGAGAUGAGUUCUCCCUGAGACUUAGAGUCUCCUGAAGGAACGUUGAAGACGACGACGUUGAUAGGCCGGGUGUGUAAGCGCAGCGAUGCGUUGAGCUAACCGGUACUAAUGAACCGUGAGGCUUAACCUU